rnacentral:misc_RNA from 1 species
CACUCCGUCCGGCAGGGCCCUCUAUAAGUACCGCUGCAUCUCACGGUUCUCUUCUCAGAAUGCAAACCACAAAACAAAGUCAAACCAGCUGCAACGAUCAAGAGCGAGGCUUCCUUGUCCAGCUCUCCGCUCAGCCGACACACACAGAUUGACAGAUGGCGUCUAUGUCGCUGAGCUCGUCGAGGGCGCAGUGGACGGCGAAGCAGAACAAGCUGUUCGAGCAGGCGUUGGCGGUGUACGACAGGGACACGCCGGACCGCUGGCACAACAUCGCGCGCGCCGUGGGUGGCAAGUCGGCGGACGAGGUCAGGCGCUACUACGAGCUGCUGGUGAAGGACUUGGAGCACAUCGAGGCCGGCAAGGUGGCCUUCCCCGCGUACAGGUGCCCCGGCGGCUACGACGACGCCGACAGCGACAGGCUGAAGCACCUGACCUGAAGAUCUAGGCGGCAGGCAAGCAUCAUGAGAACCACUGAACAAGUACGUCCUACAUACGUACACUUCGCGCCAUGUGAGUGUAGCACGUGUGGCUACAAAAGAAGCAAGCCAAGCGAGUGGGUCGGACGGAUUAUCUGUUCAAGCACGCAUGUGAAUUAGAAUUACUACUAGCAAUAGCUAUAGGAUGUUGAUCAAUCGAUCUCCGUUCCCCCCGUGUUGCGAUGUAAAAUCUCAGCAUCUGUAGCAUAUAUAUUCUGAGGAGUGAAAUAAAAUACAUUCACUAGUUUGUGGACUUUUAUUUGUCCUAUUAAAGCUAGUUCAAAUCUUAAAAGAUUUUAUUU